UCCAGAGGCUGGAAGUGCAUCUCCUCUUUGGGGAUCCUGCCAGACAGCAGCACACGGGCAAUUUUGUCACUUCUUUCAUCUGUUUGGUCAUUCUCUAUCUAUAAUGUUUUAAAGUGUUAAAAGUACUUACUGUACUUAUAGGAAGUAGGAGUAAAGAUACAUUCCUGUUAUUAUCAUGGCCAUGUGUCCCAAUGCUUUUGCCAAUAUAUUUUACUUUUAUUUUGCGUUUUGAGGUGAUCCAAAAUGAAAUAUGACAGUCACAAAUUGAAUACACAGACAAUUAGAAGGUGAAACUCACGCCAUGUCAAACGUCGACCCUUGGAAGGAGGGUUUGCGCAGAACAAAGAGAGUUGCAGCUGUAUAGGGUGGUCUCGGGUUGGAGUCGUUCCAGUAGCGAUCUCGUUCCAUCAUCGGCAGAUCUCCAUACAUCUCAUCCACUGCCAUCAUGGACACCUGCGGGCAGAAAGAAAAAUGCAUAUGAACAGAUUGACUGGGAAACGUUUCAGCAUGACUCAGCUCCUGCUUGAAAACAGUCACAAUGCUGGAGUGAGAUCACAUGCCAACAUGUGGCCUUCAUGUGUGCACGUGCCUGCGGAUGACAACACACCUCCAGCAGCAGCUUGAGCGUGUGAUCAUCUUUGAUGCGGCCCUCGCAGCGGGCCACGGCAGCCAGUUCCAUCUUCAGUACCAUCAGACACUCACCAGCCUCCACCACAUGGUCCAUGGUAGGGAAACGCUUGAAGACAGCCGUGCUGACAGAUCUGAGGAUGAGCAGGGCCGACAAACUGGCAUAGCGCAUCAUGGUGCGUCUGAGCAGGCGGCCUCGCUCGUCACUCCCCUGGAGGCCCCCCGAGAGGACGCACAUGAGCCGAUCGGGAAGCGGGAUGCUUGUGUACUGGCUCCACCAACGGUUAACCACCAGGGUCACGUAGAAACCUGCUCACAGCGUUCCAGAAGAAACACAAGCAAAGGGUCAACUGUGCUUGGCUCAGGCUUAAUUGUGUGGCUUUGAGUGCUCAAGGUUUAUCCCACCUUCUAAGGUGGAGUCAAAACUAACUGUGUAAGCAUGAUGGUUGACUACAUGUAACCUGCAAUCGACUUGACCUCUCACCCAAGGUCAGAUAAUCAAAUGAUCACAAAGAGGCUGUAAAUUCCAAAGAGAUAUGGUCUUGCCGCUUACCCAGUACAAAAGACAUUGGAAUGAGACUGGCAUAGUGGUUGCAAUAAAUUGCCAGCUUCUCAAAAUACCUUUUCUGAUCAUCAGGCAGCAAAAAUCUAAAAGAAAACGACCACUAUUAAAAAGCUAACCUAACAAUUAUAACUUAAUAAUACAAUAUCAGACACCUCUAAGUGGUAUUUACCUGUAUGUGAUACUGAUGGCUGUAUACAUGGCAAAAAAAGCCAGGAACUCCUUGUAUAACACCUUGUAGAUACUUCCUUUCCAAGCCAAAAGCAACUUGGAGAAGCCGCAGAAACGAGCAUUUGCAACUCUGGCCGUGUAGGUGACAGUCAUUGUUGCUAGCGUGCACCGCGGUGCUCAGAAGAAACAAUCCACUGAAGGUUUGAGUCACCUUACUAAUACCUGCAUGUACAACACAUAUAGAAAAGCGCAAGAUUUGUACCGAUAUUAAAAUACAGAAACAUAA